UACGUAGGGGGCUAGCGUUGUCCGGAAUCAUUGGGCGUAAAGAGCGUGUAGGCGGUCCGGUAAGUCCGCUGUGAAAGUCGGGGGCUCAACCCUCGAAUGCCGGUGGAUACUGUCGGGCUAGAGUGCGGAAGAGGCGAGUGGAAUUCCUGGUGUAGCGGUGAAAUGCGCAGAUAUCAGGAGGAACACCAAUGGCGAAAGCAGCUCUCUGGGACGGUACUGACGCUGAGACGCGAAAGCGUGGGGAGCAAACAGG
rnacentral:rRNA from 1 species